GUACUUGCUCUGGCAGCACAGACACUACAACUGGAAUGAUGCAGAGAAGACCGGCAUCACCCCUGGGCAAGGAUGACACCCACUGUUCAGGGUCCCCUUAAAAAAAG